rnacentral:misc_RNA from 1 species
GAUAAGAACGCAGCGAAAUGCGAUAAGUAAUGUGAAUUGCAGAAUUCAGUGAAUCAUCGAAUCUUUGAACGCACAUUGCGCCCCUUGGUAUUCCGAGGGGCAUGCCUGUUCGAGCGUCAUAUUAACCACUCCCGCUUGCGGGGUCUUGGGCUUCGCCUCCGGGCGGGCCUUAAAAUCAGUGGCGGUGCCGUCGGGCUCUACGCGUAGUAAAUUUUCUCGCGAUAGGGUCCCGGUGGAUGCUUGCCAACAACCCCCAACUUCUUAAGGUUGACCUCGGAUCAGGUAGGGAUACCCGCUGAACUUAAGCAUAUCAAUAAGCGGAGGA